CAAUAUGGCGGAAGGUCAUCAAAACUUUUAUGACGCACACCUUGUCCGCAAUUGCAAAGAAAGAUUCUCGCUAGUAUGGCUUGCAAGGUGAAGGGAUACAUAUGCUACAAACCUACCCCGCAAUUGCAACCGAAGAUUUUUGGAUGAACCGCAAGAUGAUCGGAUGAAGGCUUUCAGUUGGUCCAGGCCAGGCCAGGUGACCAAUGACGAUGAUAGAUCGGGUUCGAUUCAAGCUAUACGCUUGGUGUAUUUGGUUAUCGUGACUGCGACUGAGUCUAACUCACGUCAAUAGCGCGGUGGCUGGGUCCCAGGCAUGCUUGCCACUUUGUUCCACGGUCCUCAUCUAUGUUUCGACUGUGAUGACAUGGACUUAGGUUCAAAGUACGUGUUCCCCUUGAGUCAUUGUGGUUGAUUGAUGGGGGCAAUUAACGGUGGCGUGUCGCUAGUCAUUCAAUUGGUCCCCUUGUUUUAGAGUGUUGGCGGGAUAAGUCUUACGACUGUUAACAAUAGUAAGCAAUAGCUGGCCAGCGAUCCCCUACCUGAUCUCGAGGGGGAUGGAAUGACUGGGGUUAGAGGCCUGUUGUUAACCUGCGGAAUUUCGUCGGACGAAAUGUCAGGCGUGUCCGUGUGGGACUUGUGCUAAACCAGUUUAGUACAUAUGACGAAGACAUUGGGCUCUUUGAAUAACAACAGUGUUCUCAACCUCCUUGUGCCUCACAAAACCGACAUAUAUACCCGCUGAAAUCGACAAGACGGCGAUGAAGAAGGAGAGCCGGCCUCCAGCUCGAGAGCCGAGAAGACACUGGAUGGACCUGAAGAAUAUGUUGCUGCCAAUGUUGGAGCCAUACAGGGCAGCCCGAGCCAACAUUGUACAAGGGCCACAAGGUCCAGGGCCUCAAGGACAAGGGAAACAAGGACAAGGGACAUAAGGACAAGGGACACAAGGAUAAGGGACACAAGGACAAGGGACACAAAAGACGAUGUUGCAUCAUCACCAGGGCCAGCCCGACUCGAGCGAAGUUGCCGAGAUGAAAGUCGAUCACUGUCUGAAGGAGUUUUGAAGGAGGAUGCAAGCAUUGCCCUCUGCAGAUUGAGAUGAUGGCUGUCGAGAAGACCCUGACCACUCAACCAAGAUCUACAAUUCGUACUAGAGUAGAUGUGACUCUCAAAUAUUUUGGAUGACGAAGGAAUCCAACGCAUAUAUGACGCUCACAGAUAUGGGCAGAUGACUGAGAGUCGAGUGGAUUCAGUGGAUCGAACGGUUGCGCUGAGGGAUAUCCAAGUACAGGAGUGACGAACCACAGUUCAGCAAACGAUGCCUUGACAGACCAAUUCAAGGAGAACCUUCGCUAAGAUCAGGAAGGGAACGUGUUUGCUGUGUGGAUGGAUUGAACAUUUGAAUGUCCGUCAUUCUAUAAACUAUAAUGACAAUAUUCUAAUGGACUAUAUUGACAAUCUAACUCCAAAGGGACUCUCUGGACUUGGGGAAAGCUACAGUCAUAGAGUCCUGACAUGAUAUCCUGCAGCCACCAUGAGGACAGCCUAUCUCAUACCUUCGGAAGGAUGCCAUCACACGCAUGAUGAGCCAUCCCACAGAAGGGAGAAGGAUGUUGUUGACCUAGCACAUCCCAACCAUGCUCCCAUCGCCGUCAAGUAACAGUACGACGGUUGUAUUAUGUCGCCGUAGGCCCUAUUGUUUUAUCAAAAUAUCUGAUUGAAAGGUGAUUUAAUGAAAAUUCAAAUUUUUCUGAUGGUGAGAAGGCAAAUAUUUAUCUAGCUUAUGACAAGCAUAGAUUCUUUUAAUCAAAUCUUGGUUAUGACCAUGACUUAUGCCAUGGUUCAAAAUCUUACACUUUAUAUAUCAAGGAAUUGGGUUGUUAUUAGCUAACAAGGGAGCCAAUAAGGCACAGAAGAAAGAACAAUUAGGGGGUGGGGGUUGCCAACAGCCGCCUUGGGCAUAUCAGGACCCUGAAAUUCUUGUCAGGCUAAAGUUAUUUUUCUGCUUAAAAAAUCACCGAAUUCAUCAGAUAUUCAUUUGAUUAUAUCCAUCACUUUGGACAUGGGGUCCAUGUGUUCUUGUUUCGCUGACCCCACGAAACAAGAACACAUGUGUCUGAUGGAAACGUAGGCCUUUCAUACUGUUUCUCGAUCUCAUCAGUACCACAGAAUCAACUGACAUGGCCUGGGCUCUGAUGCCCUGGACCCUUUAUCACACUGGCUGGAUCAGUUGCUCAGUACAUGUACCUUCAUGCUCGAGACAACUGACCGACAGUGAUAAGUUGAAUUUAAAUUUCCUCCUUCUUAAAAUACCAAACAUCUUUCCAAUUGAACUAAAACAGUUGGAUAAACUCUCACUGUUUUAUUGAAAAUUUAAAGACUGAUCCUUCCCUAGUGGUCACACGGCGCCGUUGUCAAAGCGUGUCAUUCGACAAUGGUGGCAUGCAUGCAUGUUUUGUUACGGCUUACCAGGGACCCCAAAUUGUUGAUGAUGAUGUUCUCCAUGAGUACAUCUCCUUGGAUAAUAGUUGAGCAUAAUGGUACCUGCCCUCAUGACAAUUUUGGACAUAAUACUGAAUUGAUCGAGAAAAGUGUAAUUUAAAAAUUGCAACUUUUAGACGUUCCUGUAUGAAUGUAUUUGAAAAUACUGUAUGUAAACUAAAUAUUUUGUAAAAUGCUGAAUAAAUGAGAUCUAUAGACUCCAUGACUUGGCAAAAAGUAUGGCAAACCCAACUUUUAAUCUUUGCCAUGUCAAGGUCACCUCUUUUGUCAUGCAAAUAACAUGUUAGAACUGCUCCUUUUGUCAUGCUAAUUGGCAGCCAGAUCUGUCCAGCGGACAUGAGAAAUGUGGUUCUUUUGUUAUUCAAAUUGAGUCCUGCAAAUCAACAGCAGUGACCAAACCUAUUGUCAGCUAACAUACAAUAGCUAUUCAUGUAUAAUAAACAUGAUGAAUGCAUGAAGAGGUUUAGUGCUAACUCAAACCAUUGUGUUGGAACGUUGAGUCUAUUGUGUUUGAUCUCAAUUUAGCAUUGGGUUGCAAGGACACUUAUCAGUGUUUCUUUGUGAUAUCUUGUAAAGAAGUUGACCAUGUCUUAAAGGGAUAGUGCUUAACUGUCCUAUCUCCUGGUCCUCUUCUUGUGUUUGGCUUUCGGAGUGGUGCAGCAAAAAAAUAAUGUACAAUGUAUGUACUCAUUUGAAACAUAAGCGCCUGUCACCUGUGUGAUGGAGAUGGCGACUCCCUCCGAUUGCGUAGGUUUUCUCCCGGUAUGCGGGUUUCCUCCUACACGACUUUCCAAUUCGUCAUGUGUCUUCCUUGGAAUGUACAACAAUAAAGUUUUUUUGAAAGAGAAA